UGCAUGUGUGUGUGCAUGUGUACAUGCAGCUAGAGUGCAUGUGAAGAGGCCACAGCCUGCCCGGGCUGUCAUUUGGGAGACUGGCUGUGGGUUUGGAGACGCCUCCGCCAACUCUAGAGACACCACCACCACCAUGGUCUUAUCAUAAAAGAUCAGUGGCACACAAGCAAAAUUUCUCUUUGCUAUUUGAAUUCAUCAAGGUGUAUAGAUCAAGAUGUCCAUUGACUGGAGAAAAAGAUCAAUCUAUGAAGUAUUAAAUUUUCGUGCUCCACUUGGAAAGAU